CCUACGGGUGGCUGCAGUGGGGAAUAUUGGGCAAUGGAGGCAACUCUGACCCAGCAACGCCGCGUGAAUGAUGAAGGUCUUCGGAUUGUAAAGUUCUGUGAUGGGGGAUGAACACAAUGACGGUACCCCAAUAGCAAGCCACGGCUAACUACGUGCCAGCAGCCGCGGUAAUACGUAGGUGGCAAGCGUUAUCCGGAAUGACUGGGCGGAAAGGGUGCGUAGGUGGUUUAGUAAGUUGGCGGUGUAAUUCCGGGGCUCAACCGCGGCGCUACCGCCAAAACUAUUAGACUAGAGGGCAGGAGAGGUAAGUGGAAGUCAGAGUGUAGCGGUGGAAUGCGUAGAGAAUAGGAGGAACAUCAGGGGCGAGGGAGACUUCCUGGACGGUAACGGACACGGAGGCACGAAAGCGUGGGGAGCAAACAGGAUUAGAUACCCCAGUAGUC
rnacentral:rRNA from 1 species